rnacentral:tRNA from 1 species
GGGGCUGUAGCUCAGUUGGGAGAGCGCUGCCCUUGCAAGGCAGAGGUCAAGAGUUCGAACCUCUUCAGCUCCACCA